ensembl:snoRNA
UUCCAAAGUGUUGAGUUCAGUUCAGGGCAGCUUCCCUGUUCUGUUAAUUAAACUUUGGAACAUUAAAAUUGACUAGGGGAGAUGAUCAGAUAGAAAAUAUUAAUCUAUUUUAUUUACUUUCUGGUCUACAAAA